GGGUCAGUUCAAAAUUCUUGAAAAUUCGAUGUUACCUCUAAGGCGUCUGGAUGGUGCAUUGAAGAUCCUUCGGGUAUGGCAGUCGAAGGGUGGGACCAUUCGGCAAACUGCUGAAACUGCUUUACCCAGGUCGUCUGGCCGGCCUCCUCCUCUGCUUGUUGUCCGGGCUCCAGAGAAGUUCUGGGCUGCUGAGGGGUUCGCUCUAAUUUCGCCUUUUUCCGCAGAGAAACAGGGAAUUUCCUCGAUGCUCUUGUUGUCCUCUUUUGAUAUAAAUGGGAGUGG
rnacentral:lncRNA from 1 species